UGGGGAAUAUUGCGCAAUGGGGGAAACCCUGACGCAGCAACGCCGCGUGAGUGAAGAAGGCCUUUGGGUUGUAAAGCUCUUUCGGCUGGGGAGAAGGUGGUAAGUGCUAACAGUACUUAUUAUUGAUGGUACCAGAAGAAGAAGCACCGGCAAACUUCGUGCCAGCAGCCGCGGUAAUACGAAGGGUGCAAGCGUUGUUCGGAAUUAUUGGGCGUAAAGGGUUCGUAGGCGGGGAUAUAAGUAGGUUGUGAAAACCCUGGGCUCAACCUGGGACGUGCGACCUAGACUGUAUUUCUUGAGUUAUGGAGAGGGUAAUGGAAUUGCUGGUGUAGGAGUGACAUCCGUAGAGAUCAGCAGGAACGCCGGAGGCGAAAGCGGUUACCUGGCCAAUGACUGACGC
rnacentral:rRNA from 1 species